CGAAAGCCUGACGGAGCAAUACCGCGUGAGGGAGGAAGGCUCUUGGGUUGUAAACCUCUUUUCUCAGGGAAGAAUGAUGACGGUACCUGAGGAAUAAGCAUCGGCUAACUCCGUGCCAGCAGCCGCGGUAAGACGGAGGAUGCAAGCGUUAUCCGGAAUGAUUGGACGUAAAGCGUCCGCAGGUGGCAGUUCAAGUCUGCUGUCAAAGACCGGGGCUUAACUUCGGAAAGGCAAUGGAAACUGAACAGCUAGAGUAUGGUAGGGGCAGAGGGAAUUCCUGGUGUAGCGGUGAAAUGCGUAGAGAUCAGGAAGAACAUCGGUGGCGAAGGCGCUCUGCUGGACCAUAACUGACACUCAGGGACGAAAGCUAGGGGAGCG
rnacentral:rRNA from 1 species